rnacentral:rRNA from 1 species
UUUUCUGAGAGUUUGAUUCUGGCUCAGAACGAACGCUGGCAGCGUGGAUUAGGCAUGCAAGUCGAACGGGAUCACCGAGGUAGCAAUACUGAGGUGUGAGAGUGGCGGAUU